rnacentral:rRNA from 14 species
CUGAAUACAUAGGCUUCAAAGAGCGAACCCGGGGAACUGAAACAUCUCAGUACCCGGAGGAAAAGACAUCAACAGAGAUUCCCGUAGUAGUGGCGAGCGAACCGGGACCAGGCCAGUGCCUUCAUUUCAACUAGCAGAACACUCUGGAAAGUGUGGCCGUAGCGGGUGACAGCCCCGUAUGCGAAAGUGAUGAUGAAGGACUAGAGUAGGGCGGGACACGUGAAAUCCUGUCUGAACAUGGGGGGACCAC